ACACACAUAUCUUUAGCUUAUUCUUACUAAUUUGGUUUUAUAUUUUAGGUACACAUCUACACAAUUAUCAGUUGAACUGAUCAAUAAAUGCACAAAUGAAUUAUUCAAUUGAAAGACAAAAGUGUCCAUGCGGCAAAAUUGUUAGAUUCACCCUGGGAUAAUUCGACAGAUUGUAAAAAUGCUUGUCGUGCGGAUUCCUUGUCGCCAUGUAAUUCUAAAGCAAUCCCUAAUAAAGUGUAGGCAUCUUCCGUAU
rnacentral:lncRNA from 1 species